rnacentral:rRNA from 1 species
GAGUUUGAUCCUGGCUCAGAUUGAACGCUGGCGGCAGGCCAACACAUGCAAGUCGAGCAGUGCCUGAAACUUAACUCCCCGGGUGACAGCUGCUUGGACAGGUGAGUAAUGUCUGGAAACUGCCUGAUGGAGGGAUAACUACUGAAACGGUAGCUAUUACCGCAUAACGUCGCAAGACAAAGAGAGAGACCUUCAGGCCUCUUGCACCAUCAGAUAUUGCCCAGAUGGGAUUAGCUAGUAGGUGGGGUAAUGGCUCACCCUAGGCGACGUCCCUAAACUGGUCUGAGGAUGAUAACCACGCUGGGAGCCCCAGAGACACGGUCCAGACUCCUGCAGGAGGCAGCAGUGGGGAAUAUUGCACAAUGGGCACUAAGCCACAGUGCAGCCACCGCGUGUGUGAAGAAGCCUUCCGGGUUGUAAGCACUUUCAGCGGAGGAAGGUGAGUAGGCUUAGCCACGCUCAUCAAUUGACGUUACUCGCAGAAGAAGCCUCAACUAACUCCCGUGCACCAGCAGCCGCGGUAAUACGGAGGGUUCUGGCCGUUAAUCAGGUACUGGGCGUAAAAGCGCACCUGGUGAAGUUUGUUAAGUCAGGGUGAAAUCCCAGGCUCAGCCACAGAACUGCAUUUGGAAACUGGCAAGCUAGAGUCUCGUAAGAGGGUAGAAUUCCAGGUGUAGCGGUGAAGUAAAGCAGAGAUCUGGAGGAAUACACAGGAGUGGCGAAGGCAGCCCCUGGACGGGCUUGACGCUCAGGUGCAAAGAAAGCGUGGGGAGCAAACGGGAUUAAGAUACCUGGUGAGUCCCGCUGUAAACGAUGUCGAUUUGGAGGUUGUGCCUUGGGGCGUGGCUUCCGGAACUAACGCGUUAAAUCGACCGCCUGGGGAGUACGGCCUGAGUUAAAACUCAAAUGAAUUGUGGGGGCCCGCACAGGCAGUGGGCAUGUGGUUUAAUUCGAUGCAAGCACGAGAAUCUUACCUAUAUGACAUCCAGAGAACUUAGCAGAGAUGCUUUGGUGCCUUCGAGAACUCUGGAGACAGGUGCUGCGCGGCUGUCGUCAGCUCGUGUUGGUGAAAUGUUGGUUAAGUCCACAACGAAGCGCAACCCAUAUCCUUUGUUACCCAGCGGUUCGGCAGGGAACUCAAAGGAGACUAUGAGUGAUAAACUGGAGGAAGGUGGGGAUGACCCCGUCAAGUCAUCAUGGCCCUUACGAGUAGGAGCUACACACGUGCUACAAUGGCGUAUACAGGAAGCGACCUCACUUGAGGCUCAAACGGACCUCAUAAAGUACGUCGUGAGUCCCGGUUGGAGUCUGCAACUCGACUCCAUGAGUCGGAAUCACUUGUGUCGUAGAUCAGAAUGCUACGGUGAAUGAGUCCCAGGCAGCAACACACCGCCCCGUCCCUACAUGGGAGUAUGGGUUGCAAAGUAGGUAACAACCUUCGGGAGCACUUACCACUUUGUGAUUCAUGGCUGGGGUGAAGUCGUAACAAGGUAACCGUGAGGGAACCUGCAGCUGGAUCACCUCCUUGGGUUA